AAAUUGAAGAGUUUGAUCAUGGCUCAGAUUGAACGCUGGCGGCAGGCCUAACACAUGCAAGUCGAACGGUAACAGGAAGCAGCUUGCUGCUUUGCUGACGAGUGGCGGACGGGUGAGUAAUGUCUGGGAAACUGCCUGAUGGAGGGGGAUAACUACUGGAAACGGUAGCUAAUACCGCAUAACGUCGCAAGACCAAAGAGGGGGACCUUCGGGCCUCUUGCCAUCGGAUGUGCCCAGAUGGGAUUAGCUAGUAGGUGGGGUAACGGCUCACCUAGGCGACGAUCCCUAGCUGGUCUGAGAGGAUGACCAGCCACACUGGAACUGAGACACGGUCCAGACUCCUACGGGAGGCAGCAGUGGGGAAUAUUGCACAAUGGGCGCAAGCCUGAUGCAGCCAUGCCGCGUGUAUGAAGAAGGCCUUCGGGUUGUAAAGUACUUUCAGCGGGGAGGAAGGCGAUAAGGUUAAUAACCUUGUUGAUUGACGUUACCCGCAGAAGAAGCACCGGCUAACUCCGUGCCAGCAGCCGCGGUAAUACGGAGGGUGCAAGCGUUAAUCGGAAUUACUGGGCGUAAAGCGCACGCAGGCGGUCUGUCAAGUCGGAUGUGAAAUCCCCGGGCUCAACCUGGGAACUGCAUUCGAAACUGGCAGGCUAGAGUCUUGUAGAGGGGGGUAGAAUUCCAGGUGUAGCGGUGAAAUGCGUAGAGAUCUGGAGGAAUACCGGUGGCGAAGGCGGCCCCCUGGACAAAGACUGACGCUCAGGUGCGAAAGCGUGGGGAGCAAACAGGAUUAGAUACCCUGGUAGUCCACGCCGUAAACGAUGUCGACUUGGAGGUUGUGCCCUUGAGGCGUGGCUUCCGGAGCUAACGCGUUAAGUCGACCGCCUGGGGAGUACGGCCGCAAGGUUAAAACUCAAAUGAAUUGACGGGGGCCCGCACAAGCGGUGGAGCAUGUGGUUUAAUUCGAUGCAACGCGAAGAACCUUACCUACUCUUGACAUCCAGAGAACUUUCCAGAGAUGGAUUGGUGCCUUCGGGAACUCUGAGACAGGUGCUGCAUGGCUGUCGUCAGCUCGUGUUGUGAAAUGUUGGGUUAAGUCCCGCAACGAGCGCAACCCUUAUCCUUUGUUGCCAGCGGUCCGGCCGGGAACUCAAAGGAGACUGCCAGUGAUAAACUGGAGGAAGGUGGGGAUGACGUCAAGUCAUCAUGGCCCUUACGAGUAGGGCUACACACGUGCUACAAUGGCGCAUACAAAGAGAAGCGACCUCGCGAGAGCAAGCGGACCUCAUAAAGUGCGUCGUAGUCCGGAUUGGAGUCUGCAACUCGACUCCAUGAAGUCGGAAUCGCUAGUAAUCGUGGAUCAGAAUGCCACGGUGAAUACGUUCCCGGGCCUUGUACACACCGCCCGUCACACCAUGGGAGUGGGUUGCAAAAGAAGUAGGUAGCUUAACCUUCGGGAGGGCGCUUACCACUUUGUGAUUCAUGACUGGGGUGAAGUCGUAACAAGGUAACCGUAGGGGAACCUGCGGUUGGAUCACCUCCUUA
rnacentral:rRNA from 1 species